rnacentral:rRNA from 1 species
UGCUCCAUGAUUCAGCGGCGGACGGGUGAGUAAUGCCUAGGAAUCUGCCUAUUAGUGGGGGACAACGUUUCGAAAGGAACGCUAAUACCGCAUACGUCCUACGGGAGAAAGCAGGGGACCUUCGGGCCUUGCGCUAAUAGAUGAGCCUAGGUCGGAUUAGCUAGUUGGUGAGGUAAUGGCUCACCAAGGCGACGAUCCGUAACUGGUCUGAGAGGAUGAUCAGUCACACUGGAACUGAGACACGGUCCAGACUCCUACGGGAGGCAGCAGUGGGGAAUAUUGGACAAUGGGCGAAAGCCUGAUCCAGCCAUGCCGCGUGUGUGAAGAAGGUCUUCGGAUUGUAAAGCACUUUAAGUUGGGAGGAAGGGCAUUAACCUAAUACGUUAGUGUUUUGACGUUACCGACAGAAUAAGCACCGGCUAACUUCGUGCCAGCAGCCGCGGUAAUACGAAGGGUGCAAGCGUUAAUCGGAAUUACUGGGCGUAAAGCGCGCGUAGGUGGUUUGUUAAGUUGGAUGUGAAAGCCCCGGGCUCAACCUGGGAACUGCAUCCAAAACUGGCAAGCUAGAGUAUGGCAGAGGGUGGUGGAAUUUCCUGUGUA